GGGUACCAAACAGGGGCACACUUGUAAGAUAUUUAUUGUCCUCUCUCAUUUUAGGAGUGAACAGGGAUCUCCUAUCCAACUAUUUUUUCCUCACUCCAUGUUAAAUUGUAAAUCAGACUUGGUACACCCCCUUUGUCUAAAUUGUCAUUUUCUCCCAAAAAUUUUUUAUCAACUAUUCUCCUAACUCUUAAUAAAUAUCUGAUUUAUUCUUAAUAACUUUU